CACGCAGGCUGUGCUUUAAGUCAGCUGUUAAAAGAUGCGGCUUAACCGUGUUGUGCAGUUGAAACUGGAGUACUGGAGUACUGGAGAGGCAAGUGGAAUUCCCAGUGUAGCGGUGAAAUGCGUAGAUAUUGGGAAGAACACCGGUGGCGAAGGCGACUUGCUGGUCAGUAACUGACGCUGAGGUGCGAAAGCCAGGGGAGCAAACG
rnacentral:rRNA from 1 species